rnacentral:tRNA from 1 species
AGGCGCUUAGCUCAGUCGGUAGAGCACUUCCUUCACACGGAAGGGGUCAGCGGUUCGAGUCCGCUAGCGCCUACCA